GACGAACGCUGGCGGCGUGCUUAACACAUGCAAGUCGAACGCUGAAGCCUGGUCUUUUGGCUGGGUGGAUGAGUGGCGAACGGGUGAGUAACACGUGAGCAACCUGCCCUCAUCUCUGGGAUAACUCCGGGAAACCGGGGCUAAUACCGGAUAGGACUUCUCACCGCAUGGUGGGGGGUGGAAAGGGUUUUUCCGGAUGGGGAUGGGCUCGCGGCCUAUCAGCUUGUUGGUGGGGUGAUGGCCUACCAAGGCGAUGACGGGUAGCCGGCCUGAGAGGGCGACCGGCCACACUGGGACUGAGACACGGCCCAGACUCCUACGGGAGGCAGCAGUGGGGAAUCUUGCACAAUGGGCGGAAGCCUGAUGCAGCGACGCCGCGUGAGGGAUGACGGCCUUCGGGUUGUAAACCUCUUUCGGCCCUGACGAAGCGAGAGUGACGGUAGGGGCAGAAGAAGCACCGGCCAACUAC
rnacentral:rRNA from 1 species